CACUCACGUCACAAUGGCUAGCGAGGGAGAGAAGCUUGGAUAGAUCUUGUUCGUGAAUCGAAGCAGAUAUUGGUGCAGUAUGUGUGAUGAUCUAAAUCCUGACCACUUUUCUAGAAAUAGCUGUCUGUUGACAAGAAAUGAAAAUGGACGACUGGAUGCAGUGUCAAUGGUUCGAAUGGUAUCAUCAUUGAUAGGGAGUUUUAUUGGGGAUUUUUCAAGGGGAAAAUGACAAAAACUAAGAAGAACAUUUUUGUGAUUUUUUGUACCGAUGAGCUAAAACCAUUUUUGCUGUAGGCAUAAGGUGAUUUGCUUGUUAAUAUGAAUUGUGUACUUUUAUAAUGAGUUCUGGAUAAUUAUAGCAAAUAUUCACUCUUUUGAUUAAUACACUCUUUUAUAUGAUGUACCAUAAGUAAGGGAUAUCUUCCCUUUCCCCUUGUAAAAAACACUAAAGUGAACCAUUUUAGAGUAAAGGCUGAUUCACACUGCACAAUUAACGUAAGGUAA